rnacentral:rRNA from 1 species
AUUGAACGCUGGCGGCAGGCCUAACACAUGCAAGUCGAACGAGUGGCGGACGGGUGAGUAAUGUCUGGGCAACUGCCUGCUGGAGGGGGAUAAAUACUGGAAACGGUAGCUAAUACAGCAUACCAUCGGAUGUGCCCAGAUGGGAUUAGCUAGUAGGUGGGGUAAAGGCUCACAUAGGCGACGAUCCCUAGCUGGUCUGAGAUGAUGACCAGCCAAACUGGAACGUGACCACGGUCCAUACUCCUACGGGAGGCAGCGGUGGGGAAUAUUGCACAAUGGGCGCAAGCCUGAUGAAGCCAUGCCGCGUGUAGGAAGAAGGCCUUCGGGUUGUAAAGUACUUUCAGCGGGGAGGCGUUACCCGCAGAAGAAGCACCGGCUAACUCCGUGCCAGCAGCCGCGGUAAUAC